GGGUUCCACUUUUUUUUUUUUUUUUUUUUUUUUUUAUAAUACUGGUUGGUGUUUAAUAUGGGGCCCAUAAUUUUUUUUAACAUUGUUUGUUUUUUUAAUAUGGGAUUCACUUUUUUUUUUUUUUUUUAAUAUUGCUUGAUUUUGUUAAUAUGAGGUCUACUUUUUUUUUUCCCGUGAGUUUGGAUGUGGUGGGUUCCACUUUUUUUUUUUUUUUUUUUUUUAAUACUGGUUGGUGUUUAAUAUGGGGCCCACAAUUUUUUUAAAAUAUUAAUUGUUGUUUAAUAUAUAUGGGACCCACAAUUUGUUUUGCUUGAUUCUGUUACUAUGGGGUUCACUUUUUUUUUCCCGUGAGUUUGGAUGUGGUGGGUUACACUUUUUUUUCUUCUCCUUUUUUUUUUAAUACUUGUUCAAUUUUUUUUAACAUUAUUUUUUUUAAUAUGGAAUUCAUUUUGUUUUUAAUAUUGCUUGAUUUUUUUAAUAUGGGGUCCACUUUUUUUUCCCGUAAGUUUGGAUGUGAUGGGUUCCAUCAGUUUUUUUUAAUACUGGUUGGUAUUUAAUAUGGGGCCCAUAAUAUUUUUUUAAUAUUAGUUAUUAUUUAAUAUAUAUAGGGCCCAUAAUUUUUUUUUUACAUUUUAUUUUUAAUUUUUGUUAUGGACCUGUUUAAUAUGGGGCUCAAUAUUUUUUUUAUUUGUUUUGGACGACAACGGACGACAAAAGGCACCCAAGGUGCUUCUAAAUAGUAGGAAUAGUAAAGUAAUAAUAAAGUAAAGUAAAGUAAUAGUAAUUAUACUGACUGCUUUCUGUGGGUAAGUUGUACUGGCAACGGCUCUUUCAGAGCUCUUCUCCGGCAUGAACCCACCGCAAAUUUUCCCUCCGGCGAGAGCGACGACUGAUCUCAUACGGGCCCAAGCUAAUGUACCCAUUGAUCCUAACUCUGUUUCCGAUUCCGACAAAAACAAAGUCAAUUUUCAGGUCACCGGAAAUCCACAAGGGGAAAUCGGUGGUCUCUUUCACCAUUCAAGAAGAAGCCGAGCUCACUAAAGAUUGUAAAUUUACCUAAUUGGUAAAUUCUCCCAUGGAAGACCAUCGAUUGAAGAUAUUAGGACCGAUUUUGAUGCUCGAUUCACAGUAAAAGGCAAGGGAAAUGAUGUGGGCACUCAGUACAGGUCUGGGAUUUACUUCUACACACCCGAGCAAGAGAAGGCAGCACUAGAAUCCCGAGACCGACAGCAAAAGCUUCUGAACAGGAAGAUUGUUACUGAGAUUUUGCCCGCUAAGAAAUUUUACAGAGCCGAGGAAUAUCAUCAGCAGUACCUUGCAAAGGGGGGUCGGUUUGGCUCAAAGCAGUCUGCUGACAAAGGGUGCAAUGAUCCUAUCCGAUGCUAUGGUUAAGACCUUUUCAUUUGAAGAACAAAAAUAAAGUUAGAUGUGUUUAUUCUUCUAAGCUAUGCUUGUUAUUAUAGGCUUUAAAUUGUGCUUCUCCUACCCGCUUAUGCUUGCUUCUGGAAAAUCCAAUGGUUGUAGCUUCACCAUAGAUUUGUAAUGUAUAUAUGGUUGCAGAUUCGUGUCGUUUCAUGUUUGUAUAUGUUUAUUGAUGCCCUCGCCAUAAGUUGGAAUAGUGUCUGUCGAUCACCUGGGUCGAGUUGAAGUUAUGAAAGCCAAUGGCGGGCUUAAUUAUA